GACAGAGGGGGCAAGCGUUGCUCGGAAUCACUGGGCGUAAAGGGCGCGUAGGCGGGAUGGCAAGUCGGUCGUGAAAUCCUUCGGCUCAACCGAAGAACGUCGGGCCGAUACUGCCGUUCUUGAGGGAUGCAGAGGAGAUUGGAAUUCCCGGUGUAGCGGUGAAAUGCGCAGAUAUCAGGAGGAACACCGAUGGCGAAGGCAGCUCGCUGGGACGGUACUGACGCUGAGGCGCGAAAGCUAGGGGAGCGAACAGG
rnacentral:rRNA from 1 species